UUAAUUCGAUGCAACGCGAAGAACCUUACCUACUCUUGACAUCCAGAGAAUUCGCUAGAGAUAGCUUAGUGCCUUCGGGAACUCUGAGACAGGUGCUGCAUGGCUGUCGUCAGCUCGUGUUGUGAAAUGUUGGGUUAAGUCCCGCAACGAGCGCAACCCUUAUCCUUUGUUGCCAGCGAGUAAUGUCGGGAACUCAAAGGAGACUGCCGGUGAUAAACCGGAGGAAGGUGGGGAUGACGUCAAGUCAUCAUGGCCCUUACGAGUAGGGCUACACACGUGCUACAAUGGCAUAUACAAAGAGAAGCGAACUCGCGAGAGCAAGCGGACCUCAUAAAGUAUGUCGUAGUCCGGAUUGGAGUCUGCAACUCGACUCCA
rnacentral:rRNA from 1 species